ensembl:lncRNA
CCUGUUGGAGAGCUUCAAUAACUACCGGUUCCUGGUAGCGGGACACGUCCAGAUCCCGGGGUCCGAGGACGAUGAGAUGUACGAGAAACAAUGGAGGCAAUGAACAUCAUGGGCUUAACUGAUGAGGAGAGGAUAGGAAUCCUGAAGGUGGUGUCAACAGUGCUGCAGCUUGGCAACAUUGAGUUUAAAAAAGAGAGGACCAGGAGCAGGCCACCAUGCCCGACAACACCGCUGCACAGAAAGUCUGUCACCUGUCCGGCAUCAAUGUGACAGAUUUCACUCGUGCCAUUCUGACUCCACGCAUUAAAGUCGGCCGGGAGUGUACAGAAAGCCCAGACCAAGGAGCAGG